rnacentral:rRNA from 1 species
CGUGGUGGUUUUGGCAGGAGGGUCACACUCGGUCUCAUUCCGAACCCGGUCGUUAAGUCUCCUUGCGCUGAUGGUACUGCCCUGUUGUGGGGUGGGAGAGUAGGUCGCUGCCACGGUUUUUCUUGGUAGGGAGGGGAAGGGCUUGUCCUUUGGG